UACGUAGGGUGCAAGCGUUAAUCGGAAUUACUGGGCGUAAAGCGUGCGCAGGCGGUUUUGUAAGUCUGAUGUGAAAUCCCCGGGCUUAACCUGGGAACUGCAUUUGUGACUGCACGGCUGGAGUGCGGCAGAGGGGGAUGGAAUUCCGCGUGUAGCAGUGAAAUGCGUAGAUAUGCGGAGGAACACCGAUGGCGAAGGCAAUCCCCUGGGCCUGCACUGACGCUCAUGCACGAAAGCGUGGGGAGCAAACAGG
rnacentral:rRNA from 1 species